rnacentral:rRNA from 1 species
AGCAGCCGCGGUAAUUCCAGCUCCAAUAGCGUAUAUUAAAGUUGUUGCAGUUAAAAAGCUCGUAGUUGAAUUUCGGGAUCAAUUUGCUGGUCGUGCCUCUGGUACGUACUGGUAUUAUUGGUUUCUCCCUUCUGACGAACCAUGAUGUCAUUUAUUUGGUGUUGUGGGGAAUCAGGACUGUUACUUUGAAAAAAUUAGAGUGUUUAAAGCAGGCUCACGCUUGAAUACAUUAGCAUGGAAUAAUGAAAUAGGACGUUUGAUUCUAUUUUGUUGGUUUCUAGGAUCGACGUAAUGAUUAAUAGGGAUAGUUGGGGGCAUUAGUAUUCAAUUGUCAGAGGUGAAAUUCUUGGAUUUAUUGAAGACUAACUACUGCGAAAGCAUUUGCCAAGGAUGUUUUCAUUAAUCAAGAACGAAAGUUAGGGGAUCGAAGACGAUCAGAUACCGUCGUAGUCUUAACCAUAAACUAUGCCGACUAGGGAUCGGAUGAUGUUAAUUUUUAAUGACUCAUUCGGCGUCCG